UACGUAGGGACCAAGCGUUGUUCGGAUUUACUGGGCGUAAAGGGCGCGUAGGCGGCGCGGUAAGUCACUUGUGAAAUCUCUGAGCUUAACUCAGAACGGCCAAGUGAUACUGCAGUGCUAGAGUGUGGAAGGGGCAAUCGGAAUUCUUGGUGUAGCGGUGAAAUGCGUAGAUAUCAGGAGGAACACCUAUUGCGAAGGCAGCUCGCUGGGACGUAACUGACGCUGAGACGCGAAAGCGUGGGGAGCAAACAGG
rnacentral:rRNA from 1 species